rnacentral:rRNA from 1 species
UUGGUCCUACGGGGGGCAGCAGUAGGGAAUCUUCCACAAUGGACGAAAGUCUGAUGGAGCAACGCCGCGUGAGUGAAGAAGGUUUCGGCUCGUAAAGCUCUGUUGGUAGUGAAGAAAGAUAGAGGUAGUAACUGGCCUUUUUUUUACGGUAAUUACUUAGAAAGUCACGGCUAACUACGUGCCAGCAGCCGCGGGAAUACGUAGGUGGCAAGCGUUGUCCGGGUUUAUUGGGCGUAAA